AUCCAUAUAAUAAAACUGUUUGUUGGAUUUUUGAGUGUUGCUGUUAAGGGAGAGAGUGAAUAUUUUGUAUAAACUAUUCUAUGAGCAUAUAAGCAGUUUGACAUUGCCAAUUAAAUUCUUUUGUUAUAUGAUUAGGCCGAAGACAAUAGACAAAGCAAAACAAAACAAAAAAAAAAACAAAACAAAACAAAACAUCCAAGCAAACUUGAAUAUUGACCUCUGACGCAUAACUGCCAGUGACAAACCUGUCAGUUAAAAACCGGAUACUACCACUCGAACAAAACCAACACAGCAUUGCUCCGUUGUUGCUGUAGGUGUGUCAGGUAUUGAUGUCAACUGCAUUGGCGUUUAUCAUUUCCUGCUCAAAAUCAAAUCCAAACAUUGGCUGAAAACAUUUUUUUACAGAUGUUACCUAAACGCAUCACAAGCCUCCGCCGGGUGAGGACACCGCGGCAAAUGCCCCCGCGUUCCCUUCGUUCGACCCAGACACAACUUAGACACAAGAAGCAAAGAUUACUCUUUCUGUUGGACUCUUACUCACCUGGAAGGCGAACUGUGACGUGGCAUCUCAGGUGCAGAAAUCCCAAGCACAGUCGUGAGCGGAGCGUGAAGACGUUUGUACGGUAAACCUGGACUGUGUGGACACACAAAGGCACCUCCAUCGGAGUGAAACCUCCCGUCUGAAGCCACCAGUAAGAGACGAGCGAAGGGAAAAUCCCCCCCGCGCCAACGGGGCAGGCAGUGAGUUCACCACCCAGUAAUUCAAUAGCAGCCAACAGUGUCACAGUAAAACAUUUUGAUGUGAUGUUGUCGCGCCUUUCUCCUCGCGCCCGUAUAUCAGGCUAAACCAGUGUUGCAAAGUGGGAAUAGUUUUACUUUGUGGUGAAUGUCAAAGACGGCCCAGACGGUCAGUUUAGGCCCGAGUCUGAGUCCGUUAACGGUUCAGAGGAAGCCUCUCUCUUUC
rnacentral:lncRNA from 1 species